GAUGAACGCUGACAGAAUGCUUAACACAUGCAAGUCAACUUGAACUUCGGUUUGGGUGGCGGACGGGUGAGUAACGCGUAAAGAACUUGCCUCACAGCUAGGGACAACAUUUGGAAACGAAUGCUAAUACCUGAUAUUAUGAUUUUAGGGCAUCCUAGAAUUAUGAAAGCUAUAUGCGCUGUGAGAGAGCUUUGCGUCCCAUUAGCUAGUUGGAGAGGUAACGGCUCACCAAGGCGAUGAUGGGUAGCCGGCCUGAGAGGGUGAACGGCCACAAGGGGACUGAGACACGGCCCUUACUCCUACGGGAGGCAGCAGUGGGGAAUAUUGGACAAUGGACCAAGAGUCUGAUCAAGCAAUUCUGUGUGCACGAUGAAGUUUUUCGGAAUGUAAAGUGCUUUCAGUUGGGAAGAAAAAAAUGACGGUACCAACAGAAGAAGUGACGGCUAAAUACGUG
rnacentral:rRNA from 1 species